GACGAACGCUGGCGGCGUGCUUAACACAUGCAAGUCGAGCGGUAAGGCCCUUUCGUGGGUACACGAGCGGCGAACGGGUGAGUAACACGUGGGUGACCUGCCCUCAGUUCUGGGAUAAGCCUGGGAAACCGGGUCUAAUACCGGAUAUGACUCCAUGACGCAUGUUGUGGGGUGGAAAGCCUUGUGCGGCUGAGGAUGGGCCCGCGGCCUAUCAGCUUGUUGGUGGGGUGAUGGCCUACCAAGGCGACGACGGGUAGCCGGCCUGAGAGGGCGACCGGCCACACUGGGACUGAGACACGGCCCAGACUCCUACGGGAGGCAGCAGUGGGGAAUCUUGCGCAAUGGGCGAAAGCCUGACGCAGCGACGCCGCGUGAGGGAUGACGGCCUGGUG
rnacentral:rRNA from 1 species